AUCUGAAAAGCAGGCUGUGAAUCUGUGACCACUCUGUGGUCUGAGGAGAACUUCCUCCUCCCCUACAUCAGACCAGGAGGGCAGAAACCUCAUGGCUAUGAAGGAUCUGCGUUCUCCAGCUACCCAAUGUGAAGUCAAGCUCAGUGUGCACACACAGUUCCAAGACCACACUGAAUGAGCAGUCAUUUCCUUCAGUCCAGAAUAGUGGAUCUCCUGUUCCAACAGGAACUUGGCUCUUGCGGGUCUCAGAUCCUUUGGGAAAGCCAGAGACAUAAAACACUGCCUUCUGAGCCUCGCUGCAGAAGAUUAAUACACAUCAUCUCAUGAAAGGAGAGUUGUAAUGCAUGUGGGAUGAAGGGAGCUAGCGGCUUUCCUAUUUACAUCCUUUCCAACUGCUUCAGAGCACGGAGGAUGGAGCUUCAGCCAGGCUGGACCUGGAACUCCCAGGACCUGGUGGUCACAUCAACUCCAGGAACACACAGUGUCUCCUGGCAUUCUUUCAGGUCACCUUUACUGUGGCAGGAAAUGACAGCCUCAAGUUAGGAGGGAGCCACGUGAGGUCACCUUUAUAGCACUGUCCGAAUAUAAACCAAAAGUGUUUAAUAGCGAAAUGUUAAAGAUUAAGUAGCAAAUCCUUAAGAAUAAAAUGUCCUAAUGCUGUGGAAAACUAAGGUGAACAAGUGGUGUCCUGCUUUUAGCCACUAGCAAAGGAAAAACACACACAGAAAACACCUUAAACACAAGAAGUGAAGUUUAUUGAAGACAGCAGGCUGGACCAUAGCACUUCAGGCAAGCUGAAGAAGCCG
rnacentral:lncRNA from 1 species